CCUACGGGAGACUGCAGUGGGGAAUAUUGCGCAAUGGGCGAAAGCCUGACGCAGCGACGCCGCGUGAGGGAUGAAGGUCUUCGGAUCGUAAACCUCUGUCAGCAGGGAAGAACGGUCACUGUGCUAAUCAGCAGUGAAUUGACGGUACCUGCAAAGGAAGCACCGGCUAACUCCGUGCCAGCAGCCGCGGUAAUCCGGAGGGUGCGAGCGUUAUUCGGAAUUAUUGGGCGUAAAGCGCUCGUAGGCGGUAUGUCAAGUCAAGGGUGAAAUCCCCGGGCUCAACGUGGGAACUGCCUUUGAAACUGGCAAACUGGAGUGUGUGAGAGGAUAGUGGAAUUCCAGGUGUAGGAGUGAAAUCCGUAGAUAUCUGGAGGAACAUCAGUGGCGAAGGCGACUAUCUGGCACAUAACUGACGCUGAGGAGCGAAAGCGUGGGUAGCAAACAGGAUUAGAUACCCGAGUAGUC
rnacentral:rRNA from 1 species